AGAGUUUGAUCCUGGCUCAGGAUGAACGCUAGCGGCAGGCUUAACACAUGCAAGUCGAGGGGUAACAGGGAAAGCUUGCUUUCCGCUGACGACCGGCGAACGGGUGCGUAACACGUAUGCAACCUACCCUUUACUGGAAGAUAGCCCAGAGAAAUCUGGAUUAAUAUUCCAUAUUAUUGGACCAUGGCAUCAUGGACCAAUGAAAGCUCCGGCGGUAAAGGAUGGGCAUGCGGCCUAUUAGCUUGUUGGUGAGGUAACGGCUCACCAAGGCUGCGAUAGGUAGGGGGUCUGAGAGGAUUAUCCCCCACACUGGUACUGAGACACGGACCAGACUCCUACGGGAGGCAGCAGUGAGGAAUAUUGCGCAAUGGACGAAAGUCUGACGCAGCCAUGCCGCGUGCAGGAAGAAAGCCCUACGGGUUGUAAACUGCUUUUAUUUGGGAAGAAACCCCCUUACGUGUAAGGGGCUGACGGUACCAUUUGAAUAAGGACCGGCUAACUCCGUGCCAGCAGCCGCGGUAAUACGGAGGGUCCAAGCGUUAUCCGGAUUUAUUGGGUUUAAAGGGUUCGUAGGCGGGAUAUUAAGUCAGUGGUGAAAUCCUACAGCUUAACUGUAGAACUGCCAUUGAUACUGAUAUUCUUGAAUUCACCUGAAGUAGGCGGAACAUGACAUGUAGCGGUGAAAUGCUUAGAUAUGUCAUAGAACACCGAUUGCGAAGGCAGCUUACUAAAGUGAUAUUGACGCUAAGGAACGAAAGCGUGGGGAGCGAACAGGAUUAGAUACCCUGGUAGUCCACGCCGUAAACGAUGAUCACUCGUCAUUGGCGAUACACUGUCAGUGACCAAGCGAAAGUGUUAAGUGAUCCACCUGGGGAGUACGGUCGCAAGAUUGAAACUCAAAGGAAUUGACGGGGGCCCGCACAAGCGGUGGAGCAUGUGGUUUAAUUCGAUGAUACGCGAGGAACCUUACCAGGGCUUAAAUGCAUAUUGACAGAUUGGGAAACCAGUCCUUCUUCGGACAAUUUGCAAGGUGCUGCAUGGUUGUCGUCAGCUCGUGCCGUGAGGUGUCGGGUUAAGUCCCAUAACGAGCGCAACCCCUACCCUUAGUUGCCAGCGGAUAAUGCCGGGGACUCUGAGGGAACUGCCGGUGCAAACCGUGAGGAGGGUGGGGAUGACGUCAAAUCAUCACGGCCCUUACGUCCUGGGCUACACACGUGCUACAAUGGUGCAUACAGAGGGCAGCUACCUGGUGACAGGAUGCGAAUCUCGAAAGUGCAUCUCAGUUCGGAUCGGAGUCUGCAACUCGACUCCGUGAAGUUGGAAUCGCUAGUAAUCGCGCAUCAGCCAUGGCGCGGUGAAUACGUUCCCGGGCCUUGUACACACCGCCCGUCAAGCCAUGGAAGC
rnacentral:rRNA from 1 species